rnacentral:misc_RNA from 1 species
CCCAACUAUCCCUAUUAAUCAUUACGGUGAUCCUAGAAACCAACGAAAUAGGACGGACUGAUUCUAUUUCGUUAUUCCAUGCUAAUGUAUUCAGACGAUAGUCUGCUUUAAACACUCUAAUUUUUUCAAAGUAACAGUCCUGAUUUCCCAUCACACCAAAUGAAUGGCAUGAAAGUUCCUCAGAAGGUAGAGAUCCAUCUCACCAGUGCAGACAAUUAAGCCUGACCAAUGGGUAGACCCCGAGGUUCAACUACGAGCUUUUUAACUGCAACAACUUUAAUAUACGCUAUUGGAGCUGGAAUUACCGCGGCUGCUGGCACCAGACUUGCCCUCCAA